rnacentral:rRNA from 1 species
ACUUAAGCAUAUCAAUAAGCGGAGGAAAAGAAACUAACAAGGAUUCCCCUAGUAACUGCGAGUGAAGCGGGAAAAGCUCAAAUUUAAAAUCUGGCGGUCUUUUGGCUGUCCGAGUUGUAAUCUAGAGAAGUGUUAUCCGCGCUGGACCGUGUACAAGUCUCCUGGAAUGGAGCAUCAUGGAGGGUGAGAAUCCCGUCUUUGACAUGGACUGCCAGGGCUUUUGUGAUGCGCUCUCAAAGAGUCGAGUUGUUUGGGAAUGCAGCUCAAAAUGGGUGGUAAAUUCCAUCUAAAGCUAAAUAUUGGCGAGAGACCGAUAGCGAACAAGUACCGUGAGGGAAAGAUGAAAAGAACUUUGGAAAGAGAGUUAAACAGUACGUGAAAUUGCUGAAAGGGAAACGCUUGAAGUCAGUCACGUCGUCCAGGGAUCAACCUUGCUUUUGCUCGGUGCACUUUCUGGCUCGAUGGGUCAGCAUCAAUUUUGACUGUUGGAAAAAGAUCAAGGGAAUGUGGCAUCUUUGGAUGUGUUUAUAGCCCUUGGUCGCAUACAAUGGUUGGGAUUGAGGAAAUCAGCAUGCCACAAGGGUGUUACACCACGUACGUGCUUAGGAUGCUGGCAAUAUGGCUUUAAUCGACCCGUCUUGAAACACGGACCAAGGAGUCUAACAUGCCUGCGAGUGUUUGGGUGGAAAACCCGAGCGCGCAAUGAAAGUGAAAGGUUGAGAUCCCUGUCGUGGGGAGCAUUGACGCCCGGACCAGACCUUUUGUGACGGUUCUGCGGUAGAGCAUGCAUGUUGGGACCCGAAAGAUGGUGAACUAUGCCUGAAUAGGGUGAAUCCAGAGGAAACUCUGGUGGAGGCUCGUAGCGAUUCUGACGUGCAAAUCGAUCGUCAAAUUUGGGUAUAGGGGCGAAAGACUAAUCGAACCAUCUAGUAGCUGGUUCCUGCCGAAGUUUCCUUCAGGAA